rnacentral:lncRNA from 1 species
UGCAGAAGCCAUAUUUCAACGGGGUUAUGCAUCGAUGAUAUCCAAGUUAGUAAGGCAAGGGAAUAAUCAUGUCCGUAAUUUCUGGCCUUGAAAUGGAACGAAAAACAUACUAUUUUUCAGGGUAUGAUCUUGAGAAGGUCCUGUGUUUAUAGAAGAAGUUUUCCCUUGUUGGCGAGUCCAGUUGAAUCGUGCUCCAGCUCCCUGACUCCAGGUACAGAAACCAGACUCAAAGUUGCAAUCGAACUGCCCACGGCCU